UACGAAGGGGGCUAGCGUUGCUCGGAAUCACUGGGCGUAAAGGGUGCGUAGGCGGGUCUUAAGUCAGGGGUGAAAUCCUGGAGCUCAACUCCAGAACUGCCUUUGAUACUGAAGAUCUUGAGUUCGGGAGAGGUGAGUGGAACUGCGAGUGUAGAGGUGAAAUUCGUAGAUAUUCGCAAGAACACCAGUGGCGAAGGCGGCUCACUGGUCCGGUACUGACGCUGAGGUGCGAAAGCGUGGGGAGCAAACAGG
rnacentral:rRNA from 1 species